rnacentral:rRNA from 1 species
ACUCCUACGGGAGGCAGCAGUGGGGAAUAUUGGACAAUGGGCGCAAGCCUGAUCCAGCCAUGCCGCGUGAGUGAUGAAGGCCGUUAGGGUUGUAAAGCUCUUUCGCCGGUGAAGAUAAUGACGGUAACCGGAGAAGAACGCCCCGGCUAACUUCGUGCCAGCAGCCGCGGUAAUACGGAAGGGGGCUAGCGUUGCUCGGAAUCACUGGGCGUAAAGCGCACGGUAGGCGGGUUCGUUAAGUCAGAGGUGAAAGCCUGGAGCUCAACUCCAGAACUGCCUUUGAUACUGGCGACCUCGAGUUCGAGAGAGGGUUGGUGGAACUCCGAGUGUAGAGUGAAAUUCGUAGAUAUUCGGAAGAACACCAGUGGCGAAGGCGGCCAACUGGCUCGAUACUGACGCUGAGGUGCGAAAGCGUGGGGAGCAAAC